rnacentral:rRNA from 1 species
AAUGAUACACCUAGUAAGGGCGACUGAACAGUGUGAAGCUCACCGUGUGAAUCUGUGUAACCCAUUUGACUCCGGUCUUUUGGGUGCACCGAAUUGUGGUCUGAAGAAGUAUUGUCGGUUGCAGUCCCGGACCAAGUCCCUUGGAAAAGGGCAGCUGAGAGGGUGAGACUCCCGUUCUUGUCUGGGAACUGUGUGCCAUGGCACAUGCUUUCAACGAGUCGUGUUGAUUGGGAUUUCAGCACAAAUUCUGUGGUAAAUGCCACAUAAAGCUAAAUAUUGGUGGGAGACCGAUAGCGCACAAGUACCGUGAGGGAAAGAUGCAAAGAACUUUGAAAAGAGAGUUAAAGAGUACCUGAAAUUGCUGAAAGGGAAGCGAAGGAAACCAGUGCCGUAGUGUUGUCAUACUUCCCCUUCUGCUUGCGGAUGGGGCGCUGUGACAGUACGUGGAUCAGCAUCAACUUUACCUUGGACCAAAUGGGUGAUUGGUAGACAGCCCCUUUCGAGGGGCCAGUGCUAGUCAUUUCUGGUCUGAGCGAGGUUGAGGUCAGUCAUUCUGUGCUCGUGAUGCUGAUGAAAUGGUUUUCUUUACCCCGUCUUGAAACACGGACCAAGGAGUCUAAGAUUUGUGCGAGUAAAAAGGUGGUAAACCUUUAUGCGUAAUGAAAGUAACAGUGGUUAGAAGUCGUUAAGACAUGCAUAAUCCGCCGGCUUCAAUCUUACGAGAGAAAGGUCUGAGUGUGAGCGCAAAUCUUGGGACCCGAAAGAUGGUGAACUAUGCUUGAGUAGGGUGAAGCAA